UGUGCCAGCAGCCGCGGUAAUACGUACGUGGCAAGCGUUGUCCGGAUUUAUUGGGUUUAAAGGGUGCGUAGGCGGCCCUGUAAGUCAGUGGUGAAAUAUCUCAUCUUAACUGAGAGGGUGCCAUUGAUACUGCAGGGCUUGAGUACAGAUGAGGUAGGCGGAAUUGACGGUGUAGCGGUGAAAUGCAUAGAUAUCGUCAAGAACACCGAUAGCGAAGGCAGCUUACCAAGCUGUAACUGACGCUGAGGCACGAAAGUGUG
rnacentral:rRNA from 1 species